GGAGAGAUGUCCGAGUGGUCGAAGGAGCACGAUUGGAAAUCGUGUAGGCGUGGAUAACGCGCCUCGAGGGUUCGAAUCCCUCUCUCUCCGCCA
rnacentral:tRNA from 1 species